rnacentral:rRNA from 1 species
ACGCACGCUGGCGGCGUGCUUAACACCUGCCAGUCGAACGGAAAGGCCCUGCUUUUGUGGGGUGCUCGAGUGGCGAACGGGUGAGUAACACGUGAGUAACCUGCCCUUGACUUUGGGAUAACUUCAGGAAACUGGGGCUAAUACCGGAUAGGAGCUCCUGCUGCAUGGUGGGGGUUGGAAAGUUUCGGCGGUUGGGGAUGGACUCGCGGCUUAUCAGCUUGUUGGUGGGGUAGUGGCUUACCAAGGCUUUGACGGGUAGCCGGCCUGAGAGGGUGACCGGCCACAUUGGGACUGAGAUACGGCCCAGACUCCUACGGGAGGCAGCAGUGGGGAAUAUUGCACAAUGGGCGGAAGCCUGAUGCAGCAACGCCGCGUGCGGGAUGACGGCCUUCGGGUUGUAAACCGCUUUCGCCUGUGACGAAGCGUGAGUGACGGUAAUGGGUAAAGAAGCACCGGCCAACUACGUG